GUGCUCGCUUUGGCAGCACAUAUACUAAAAUUGGAAUGAUACAGAGAAGAUUAGCAUGGCCCCUGCACAAGAAUGACAUGCAAAUUCAUGAAGCAUUCCAUAUUUUU
ensembl:snRNA U6 U6 spliceosomal RNA